CGGCUUUUAAGUGCGCGACGAGUUCCGGGUUCGAGCCCCG
rnacentral:tRNA from 1 species